rnacentral:rRNA from 1 species
AGUUUGAUCAUGGCUCAGGACGAACGCUGGCGGCGUGCUUAACACAUGCAAGUCACGGGGGGUAGCAAUAUCAACCGGCGAACGGGUGCGUAACACGUGAGCAACCUGCCUUUGUGUGGGGGAUAGCCGGGCUAACGCCCGGGUAAUACCGCAUACGGUCGCUGGGGGGAGUCCCCUGGCGAAGAAACCUCCGGGGCACAGAGAGGGGCUCGCGGCCUAUCAGCUAGUUGGCGGGGUAAUGGCCCACCAAGGCGACGACGGGUAGCUGGUCUGAGAGGAUGGCCAGCCACAUUAGGACUGAGAGACGGCCCAGACUCCUACGGGAGGCAGCAGUGGGGAAUCUUGCGCAAUGGCCGAAAGGCUGACGCAGCGACGCCGCGUGUGGGAGGACGCCUUUCGGGGUGUAAACCACUGUUGCCCGGGACGAAUAUCCCAUUUUGAUGGGAUUGACGGUACCGGGUGAGGGAGCACCGGCUAACUCCGUGCCAGCAGCCGCGGUAAUACGGAGGGUGCGAGCGUUGUCCGGAAUCAUUGGGCGUAAAGGGCGCGUAGGUGGCGGGACAAGCGUGCGGUGAAAGCUCGGGGCUCAACCCCGAGUCGGCCGUGCGAACUGUUU